rnacentral:rRNA from 1 species
GAUGAACGCUGGCGGCGUGCCUAAUACAUGCAAGUCGAGCGAACAGAUGAGGAGCUUUCUCCUCUGACGUUAGCGGCGGACGGGUGAGUAACACGUGGAUAACCUACCUAUAAGACUGGGAUAACUUCGGGAACCGGAUCUAAUACCUGACAAUAUAUUGAACCGCAUGGAUCAAUAGGGAAAGACGGCUUUGCUGUCACUUAUAGAUGGAUCCGCGCCGCAUUAGCUAGUUGGUAAGGUAACGGCUUACCAAGGCAACGAUGCGUAGCCGACCUGAGAGGGUGAUCGGCCACACUGGAACUGAGACACGGUCCAGACUCCUACGGGAGGCAGCAGUAGGGAAUCUUCCGCAAUGGGCGAAAGCCUGACGGAGCAACGCCGCGUGAGUGAUGAAGGUCUUCGGAUCGUAAAACUCUGUUAUUAGGGAAGAACAAAUGUGUAAGUAACUAUGCACGUCUUGACGGUACCUAAUCAGAAAGCCACGGCUAACUACGUG